AUUAUUAAUAUUAUGUCGUGAAGGUCUAGAUCUGCCAGCGUCGGGAUCUGCACAUGUAGUUUGGAGAUCUAAACCGACCGCUGUUGCUGACCGGAGCAGGUCGUCAGAUAAAGGACGGAGUGAGUACAGCUUUUAGGCAGUUCUCACCGUUAGAUCAUGUACACUUGUAGGGAGAACGUUCGCCUUCGCCAGUUAGAUCGGGUAGGCUAGGGUCCGUGGGAGAACGCUUGCUUUUGACAGUUAGAUCGGAGCAUUACAAACGUAGAGAGGCGGACAGCAGACACGGACAGCAGACUGUCCUUACAGGAUUGCUGUGUCGAGCUUCAAAGCGACAAGAUUGGGGCCAGCUUCUGCGAAAGAACAUCGUUCGAACGCCUCGGCCGUUGGCGAUCUCAGCGCCCCGCUUGAUAUCCUACACGGCAGCCUUCAUUCCGCAGCCAUCCUGUCUGGAGGCAGUGUGGUCUGGGCAGCAGCGUACUGGAAGCGAGAUGAUGGAAUUCGCACGAUGUAGUAUCCUGCGCCGAAUGAAUGGAACGUACUGGUCACAGCUGAAAGUUCCACUGAUGAUCUUGAUGAUGAUAGCGUGUCUCGUCGAUCUAUGUUCCGCUGCCCCUUUCCACCAACGGUCUAAGGAUGAGCAGGACACGAACGAUUUGCUAAAAGUCAUCACCUAUGCCACCCACUUUGUUCAUUGCUUGUUUGCUGCCGGCGCCGCAGCUAUCCCCGGCUCGCGCUCGGGUGGUGAAAAGAUAUGCAUAGUAUUCUCCCAUGUAGUCUUCUGGAUUGCAGGGCACACCUCUAUACUUAAUCGUACAGAUGUUGGCAAUGUCUUUGAUGAACAUUGCAGCCAUGCCAUUAUCAGAACUCUCUAUUCGGGUAUCGGAAUCUCUUUGGUACUUAGAACAGUCUAGUUGGAGACACUAGGAAAACAACCAUCACAAUCAACAUCAACACAUUCGGCAUUUAUUGACAAAUGUGUAUCAAUGGAUUAGUUUUUCUAUUGUGCCACGUAGCCGCUCGGAUCGCCAUUUCAAAGUUAGUGAAGGUGCUGAUAUCUGCAUAAUAACACGCAGCUGCUCAACCUCCGAAGGCAGAAGCAGAACUUACACUUCGAAGUAUUUGUUCACGUCACACCUUGCUCCUCUUCGUAUUGUCACUGUGUGAACCUAUACUAGCGUGCUGUAUGUGUUUGCUUGGUCACGUGCUGUUUUCGCACCCUUUUGCUGCCUCCCGCCUUGCAACUGCUUUUCACAUCUCUAGCAGCAUUAUUUUCUGCUGCCUUGAGCUGGGGAAGCGUUGGCUCCCCACACUGGAGCUCGCGCUUUCCCACCGACUUCCAUCUCUACCAGCAAUUCUUACAACGACCUGCUUCGUUUAUUCUCUAUGGUCUACCAGAAGUAGACAUUGAUGGAUUCUGGAGAAAACGGUUACCGUCAAGACGAAUCUGUUUCGGUUGGUUGUCGAUUGUCGUUGAAAAGCAUAAUGCUCUAAAGCACUGUUUCAAGGACACACGGACUAGCAGGUCUUGUAACAUAAGACCCUAGACACUAUUGCAGCCGUGUGCGACUGGUUGGGUUCUUGUUCUUAGCUUUGAGUUCUUUCCAUUUGCCUUGAAUUAUUUUUCAUUUAAAAUUGUUUUGGGUUUUACUUGCAUUUCUCUUUGUUGAUCAUGAUGGUAUUUUUGCCCGUACACGUACAAGAGGCUUGUUACUGUA